rnacentral:rRNA from 1 species
AUUGAACGCUGGCGGCAUGCCUUACACAUGCAAGUCGAACGGCAGCACGGGUGCUUGCACCUGGUGGCGAGUGGCGUACGGGUGAGUAAUACAUCGGAACAUGUCCUGUAGUGGGGGAUAGCCCGGCGAAAGCCGGAUUAAUACCGCAUACGAUCCACGGAUGAAAGCGGGGGACCUUCGGGCCUCGCGCUAUAGGGUUGGCCGAUGGCUGAUUAGCUAGUUGGUGGGGUAAAGGCCUACCAAGGCGACGAUCAGUAGCUGGUCUGAGAGGACGACCAGCCACACUGGGACUGAGACACGGCCCAGACUCCUACGGGAGGCAGCAGUGGGGAAUUUUGGACAAUGGGCGAAAGCCUGAUCCAGCAAUGCCGCGUGUGUGAAGAAGGCCUUCGGGUUGUAAAGCACUUUUGUCCGGAAAGAAAUCCUUGGCUCUAAUACAGUCGGGGGAUGACGGUACCGGAAGAAUAAGCACCGGCUAACUACGUG